rnacentral:rRNA from 1 species
GAUGAACGCUAGCGAUAGGCUUAACACAUGCAAGUCGAGGGGCAGCAUGGUCUUAGCUCGCUAAGACUGAUGGCGACCGGCGCACGGGUGCGUAACGCGUAUGCAACUUGCCUCACAGAGGGGGAUAACCCGUCGAAAGACGGACUAAUACCGCGUACACUUGGAGGGAGGCAUCUCCCAUCAAGGAAAAGAAAUUCGCUGUGAGAUAGGCAUGCGUCCCAUUAGCUGAUUGGUGAGGUAACGGCUCACCAAGGCAACGAUGGGUAGGGGAACUGAUGGGUAGACACCCCACACUGGUACUGGGACACGGACCAGACUCCUACGGGAGGCAGCAGUGAGGAAUAUUGGUCAAUGGGCGAGAGCCUGAACCAGCCAAGUCGCGUGAAGGAUGACUGUCUUAUGUAUUGUAAACUUCUUUUGUAGGGGAAUAAAGAACGGUACGUGUACCGUAGUGAAUGUACCCUACGAAUAAGCAUCGGCUAACUCCGUGCCAGCAGCCGCCGUAA